GACGUAGGGCGCGAGCGUUGUCCGGAUUUAUUGGGCGUAAAGAGCUCGUAGGCGGUUUGUCGCGUCGGCUGUGAAAACCUGGGGCUCAACCCCGGGCCUGUAGCCGAUACGGGCAAACUAGAAUUCGGUAGGGGAGACUGGAAUUCCUGGUGUAGCGGUGAAAUGCGCAGAUAUCAGGAGGAACACCGGUGGCGAAGGCGGGUCUCUGGGCCGAUAUUGACGCUGAGGUGCGAAAGCGUGGGGGAGCAAACAGG
rnacentral:rRNA from 1 species